rnacentral:snoRNA from 1 species
AUUUGAUGAUGAGGACAUUGAAUGCAGAGUUGCUCGAAUCUUUCCCAAUAUUCGGAGAGUGUCUCUCCAUGAGAUUGCCGAAUCCCAUAUAUUUCUUUUCUUAUGUU